rnacentral:misc_RNA from 1 species
GCUUCUCUCUCUAUCUGAGCUCAAAUUAUUUAAAAUUUGUCUUCAAAUCCUCUGGAAUUAGGUUUAUCAUGGUUUCUAAAGCUGGAAUUUCUCUUCAUCAUAAGAGGUUUACAUUUUCUUUUCUUACGUAAGAAGCUUGCAAUUAUUUUGCUAUUUUCCCUCCACGUAUUCAUAUUUGGUUAAUUUAUUUUGUGUGUGAAUUUAUU